rnacentral:rRNA from 1 species
UACGUAGGGUGCGAGCGUUGUCCGGAAUUAUUGGGCGUAAAGGGCUCGUAGGCGGUUUGUCGCGUCGGGAGUGAAAACCAGGUGCUUAACACCUGGCUUGCUUUCGAUACGGGCAGACUAGAGGUAUGCAGGGGAGAACGGAAUUCCUGGUGUAGCGGUGAAAUGCGCAGAUAUCAGGAGGAACACCGGUGGCGAAGGCGGUUCUCUGGGCAUUACCUGACGCUGAGGCGCGACAGCGUGGGGAGCAAACAGG